rnacentral:lncRNA from 1 species
GUUAUACAAAAUACCCCUUGCUCAUUAAUAAAUAAUAGUCCUCUAUUAUUUCUACUCAAUUCCAACGGAUUACCCUAAAAAUCAAAUGGCAAGUCAGUUUCAAGAAGUCUUGGUUUUCUGCUCAAUCACUCCAAGAUGCUAAGGCUUUUUGAAAUAGAUUAUAUGAAUAUUCAGGUCAGUCUGUUUUCUGCAGUGACUCAUAAUUGGGAUUCAGACAGGACCAGACUUGUCUGCUGAUGUGGUAUGGCAGGCCUGCCAGAAGGCUUGCUUUGUUUUGUUGGUUGAAAAGGAAAGAGGCAGGCGCCCAAGUCCCAAAGGGAAGCAGCUGUAGGGUAAAGGGUUAGAAUUUCAGCGGCAUUCCUUGGGCAGCCCCGUGGGUGUGGGGUUGAGUCGAUGGAGAGAACAGCUGCAGGCAGAAGCUGAAGGAACUGUUUUUAUAGGGGCCUCUGUGUGACACCCUGAGACAUGAGGAUGUGGGCAGUGCCACGAUUAUGCCCAGGAAAGAAAACCAUGUGGAUAGCUGAGAUCUUCUGUGAAGAAAGGAAAAGACAAAAGGCCGUAGAUCCAAAACUUAUAGAAAAUCAACGUUUAGAAUUUCAACUGUGGAGGAAGGACCAAAAAAAUGCAAGAAGCAGAUUGUUGACCAGAAGCCAGGGACAGCUGUCUUCCUGUAAUGGCCCACAGUGACACCCACAGAACUUUUCCCUUCAGUGUUCAACCCGCUAAAAUGUGUGAAGAGAUGUGCAAUCAUUUAGCAUCCCUGACAUCUAGGAUUAGAUGCAAGCGUUUUAUGCAGAGAAGUGCAUGGGUCCUGGAAGGUCAGUUGUCUACCUUUAGAUGAAUUUGUUUCAAUAAAAUCAACUUGUCUGGUUUUCUCUGCAUAAAAAUACCGAAAUGAUCACAGUACGUAUAUGCAUUGUGUGCAUAAAUGUAUCAUAGGCUGUCUGUAAGCAUCUUUCUGGGAGACAGGCCUUGGAUCUGAGUCAUGAUAAAUUUUAAAUGUGAGAUUUUGCUUUCAUUCUACAAAGGGUAAAGUGCAGACAUCAACCAUCUCUAAGGAACUGUUUUUGAAAACGAGGUCCUAGGACUGUCUGCAUCAGAAUUACCUGACUUUAAUAUCUCCAUAUUUCAGAGUUUCACCCCAAGUAAGGUGAGGGCACCUGCUUUUUGGCAAACACCUAGGGCAUUCUGAUGCACACAACCCCAUAAUCUCUUGUUCUACUAUCAAACUGUGCCUAUUCACUUAUUAAAAUCAAGGCAGAAAUCAUAAAGAUUAUCAAAGAGAAUCCAGCAGCACAUCAAAGGACUAAAUUACCAAGGUCAAGUGGGUUUCAUUCCAGAGAUGCAAGGGUAAGUCCAUUUUAGGAACUCCAUUAACUGAAUUCAUUUUAAUAGAUCUUAAAAGAAAAGUCAUCUAAUAUUACCUACAUUAAUGCUGGAAGAGCUCUGGAAAAAAAUAUACAUCUAUUCUUCGUGAAAAUUCUCAGUCCUUAGCAUGACUGAGUUGAUCUGCCGUAAUCUGAAGCCCACAUCAUACUUAGCGGGAAACCACCAGAAAUAUUUCCAUCAAAGUCAGAAACAAACAAAGGAUACUUACUCAAUCACACUUGUUGUAAGAGGUACUUUAGGAAGUGGUAAAGUUUGUGGACUUUGGUAUUCAACUACUACUAUCAAGGUUCAAAUCCCAACCUUGCAAUUUAUUUAAUAUUUCUCUGCUGAGUUUCCCUUUCUGUAAAUAGGCAUAAUUAUAAUACUUAAAUCAUAAAGUUCCUUGCCAUGAGGUAUUAGUAGCUUGAUAGGUAUAAAAUAAUUGAUAGGUUCAUGGAAGUGUUUGACAAAUAUUAGCUACCAUUGUUAUUAUUUAACAUUAUUUUUGAAGUACUAGACCAAACAGAAAGAAAGGAUUUAGAGGUGCUAAAAGAAGAGAUAAGAUUAUCUGUAGAUAAGAUUAACUAUAACUAAAAUACAGUUACUAUAAUUGUAAAACUNNNNNNNNNNNNNNNNNNNNNNNNNNNNNNNNNNNNNNNNNNNNNNNNNNNNNNNNNNNNNNNNNNNNNNNNNNNNNNNNNNNNNNNNNNNNNNNNNNNAGAUAAGAUUAUCUGUAGAUAAGACUAACUAUAACUAAAAUACAGUUACUAUAAUUGUAAAACUUGAAAAUCCAGAAAGACUACUGAAAAACUAUGACAGAUAAUAAGAAAAUUCUCUAAAUAGCAGGCUAUAAAAUUCUUGUACAGAAAUCAACAGAGCUCAUAUAUAUGAAAAAACUUGAGUGAAAAGAAGGCAUAGACUGUUCCUGUGUAGGAAGACUCAACAUUCUAAGGAUGUUAAUCCUUUCUAAAUUAAAUUAUAAAUUUAACACUGUCAUUAAUAAAAUAUAAGGAAUUUUUUUAAAAAACUGGAUACAUUGAUUCUAAAU